GAGGAAGAAGUGCCGGGGGGCGUGGUAAGACGUGAGUGGUGAGGGGUGUGCGGAAUUACAGGGCGUAAAGGGGGCGUAGGCGGAUGGUUAAGUGAGAUGGGAAAGACCCGGGCUCAACUUAGGUGCUGCAUUUCAAACUGGAAGUCUAGAGUGCAGGAGAGGAGAAUGGAAUUCCUAGUGUAGCGGUGAAAUGCGUAGAGAUUAGGAAGAACACCAGUGGCGAAGGCGAUUCUCUGGACUGUAACUGACGCUGAGGCUCGAAAGCGUGGGGAGCAAACAGGAUUAGAUACCCCAGUAGUC
rnacentral:rRNA from 1 species